GACAUAAGGUCUGUUCCUUUGUUUUUUAGUGUUACACUUUUGAGUGUAAGUGUACGAAAUUCUAUGGACAUUUGAGUGUAAAAUUACAGCGGAUGUGACAGCGGCUCAUGACAGCGGACAGUAUUAAACGAAAAUUAUCGGUGUGCCAAUCAAGCAAAGGGACAAGGAACUUCCGAAUAUGGCCUAACUGGGGGCACAUAACAUAACAUAACCUAAUCCUAAUAUUUACAUUUGUAAAGAAUAUCCUGUUUGUUUUUAUUGUCGAUUGUGCAGCGAAAUUGUGUGCAGCAAAUCAAAUAUAAAGUAGUUUAUCGCCUACAGAACUGAAUUAGUCCAUAGCAGUUAUCAGUUUUUCUUUCUUGGGAAGCUUAUACAUGUAACUUGUAUUGUUGUAAAUUGUGGGAGUAGGGCAGACAGGGAAAAGUCUUAUUUUGUACUGUUCCCAAGGCUCCCCAUGCAAUACAUUUAAAUGAAUUAUCCAAACAAAGCUGGGGACAAUGGAUAAAAGCCACAAGAAGAACAGAUAUAAGGGAACUAAAAUUAAAAUAUGAAAAGUAAACAUUUUAUAAGUGGAACAACCACCAGAUAUUUAAAAGGUAUAAAAAGAAGAAACUGCUGGAAUUUCAAAACAAAUGUGUUUGACUAGUAAAGAUUUGGAUAAAUAACAGGAGUUACUUUGGGCUAUAGCUAAGUGCAGAUUUAUUUCCUUGUGGCUUCCUAUGUUAAUUCUUAUUAAUUAUACACUUAAAUAUGUUUUUAGUCUCAGGAAGAUUUUAUAUUUGAUUAUUUUUGAAUAAACAUUAUUAUUAUUAUUACCUUAAUUUCCAUUAAAUAAAUUAACUGUAAUCAAUAAAGUAAUCGUUUAAUUGUUAAUAAAUUAUCAAGUAUGA